AGUGAGGAAUUUUGCGCAAUGGGGGAAACCCUGACGCAGCAACGCCGCGUGAGUGAUGAAGGCUUUCGGGUCGUAAAGCUCUGUCAAGUGGGAAGAACUCCCGUGAGGUUAAUACCCUCAUGGUUUGACGGUACCACUGAAGGAAGCACCGGCUAACUCCGUGCCAGCAGCCGCGGUGAUACGGGGGGUGCAAGCGUUAUUCGGAUUUACUGGGCGUAAAGCGCGCGUAGGCGGCCGUUUAAGUCAGAUGUGAAAGCCCGGGGCUCAACCCCGGAAGUGCAUUUGAUACUAUUCGGCUUGAGUAUGGGAGAGGGAAGUGGAAUUCCUGGUGUAGAGGUGAAAUUCGUAGAUAUCAGGAGGAACACCGGUGGCGAAGGCGACUUCCUGGACCAAUACUGACGCUGAGGCGCGAAGGCGUGGGUAGCAAACAGGAUUAGAUACCCUGGUAGUCCACGCAGUAAACGGUGAUCACUAGGUGUAGCGGGUAUUGACCCCUGCUGUGCCGCAGCUAACGCAUUAAGUGAUCCGCCUGGGGAGUACGGCCGCAAGGUUA
rnacentral:rRNA from 1 species